rnacentral:rRNA from 1 species
AUGAACGCUGGCGGCGUGCCUAAUACAUGCAAGUCGAGCGGACGGACGAGAAGCUUGCUUUUCUGAUGUUAGCGGCGGACGGGUGAGUAACACGUGGAUAACCUACCUAUAAGACUGGGAUAACUUCGGGAAACCGGAGCUAAUACCGGAUAAUAUUUUGAACCGCAUGGUUCAAAAGUGAAAGACGGUCUUGCUGUCACUUAUAGAUGGAUCCGCGCUGCAUUAGCUAGUUGGUAAGGUAACGGCUUACCAAGGCAACGAUGCAUAGCCGACCUGAGAGGGUGAUCGGCCAAACUGGAACUGAGACACGGUCCAGACUCCUACGGGAGGCAGCAGUAGGGAAUCGUCCGCAAUGGGCGAAAGCCUGACGGAGCAACGCCGCGUGAGUGAUGAAGGUCUUCGGAUCGUAAAACUCUGUUAUUAGGGAAGAACAUAUGUGUAAGUAACUGUGCACAUCUUGACGGUACCUAAUCAGAAAGCCACGGCUAACUACGUG